AGAGUUUGAUCCUGGCUCAGAACGAACACUGGCGGCGUGCCUAAUACAUGCAAGUCGAACGGGAAAGUGUCAUUCGUGGCAUGAGUACAGUGGCGAACGGGUGAGUAACGCGUAAACAAUCUGCCCUUCAGUUGGGGAUAACACUGCCAACGCGGUGCUAAUACCGAAUAACAUUAUUUGUUCACAUGAAUAGAUGAUAAAAGAUGGUUUCAUCACUGAAGGAUGAGUUUGCGUCUGAUUAGCUAGUUGGCGAGGUAAUGGCUCACCAAGGCGACGAUCAGUAGCCGGCCUGAGAGGGUGUACGGCCACAUUGGGACUGAGAUACGGCCCAGACUCCUACGGGAGGCAGCAGUAGGGAAUUUUGCGCAAUGGACGCAAGUCUGACGCAGCAACGCCGCGUGAGUGAUGAAGGUCUUCGGAUCGUAAAGCUCUGUCAGGAGGGAAGAACCUAUGCUAUUAAUACCAGCAUACUGACGGUACCUCCAAAGGAAGCUCCGGCUAACUUCGUGCCAGCAGCCGCGGUAAUACGAGGGGAGCUAGUGUUGUUCGGAUUUACUGGGCGUAAAGGGAGUGUAGGCGGGGAUCUAAGUCAGAGGUGAAAUUUCGGGGCUCAACCCUGAACUUGCCUUCGAUACUGGGUCUCCUGAGUAUGGAAGAGGUCGAUGGAAUUCCUGGUGUAGCGGUGGAAUGCGUAGAUAUCAGGAGGAACGCCAAUAGCGAAAGCAGUCGACUGGUACAAUACUGACGCUGAAACUCGAAAGCAUGGGGAGCAAACAGGAUUAGAUACCCUGGUAGUCCAUGCCCUAAACUAUGAAUACUAGAUAUCGGAGGAGUUAACCCCUUCGGUGUCGUAGCUAACGCGUUAAGUAUUUCGCCUGGGGAGUACGCUCGCAAGGGUGAAACUCAAAGAAAUUGACGGGGGCCCGCACAAGCGGUGGAGCAUGUGGUUCAAUUCGAUGGUACGCGAAGAACCUUACCUGGAUUUGACAUGGGAGUGCCGCAGGCAGAGAUGUCUGUUUUUCGCAAGAAACACUCUACACAGGUGCUGCAUGGCUGUCGUCAGCUCGUGUCGUGAGAUGUUGGGUUAAGUCCCGCAACGAGCGCAACCCUUGUCCAGUGUUACUAACGGGUUAUGCCGAGGACUCACUGGAGACUGCCUCAUUCUAAGAGGAGGAAGGUGGGGAUGACGUCAAGUCCUCAUGGCCCUUACAUCCAGGGCUACACACGUGCUACAAUGGCAGGUACAGAGAGUCGCAAUACCGCGAGGUGGAGCCAAUCUCAAAAAGCCUGUCUCAGUUCGGAUUGGAGUCUGCAACUCGACUCCAUGAAGCUGGAAUCGCUAGUAAUCGCGGAUCAGCUACGCCGCGGUGAAUACGUUAUCGGGCCUUGUACACACCGCCCGUC
rnacentral:rRNA from 1 species